rnacentral:rRNA from 1 species
AACUAACUAGGAUUCCCUCAGUAAGGGCGACUGAAGCGGGAAGAGAUCACCUUGUGAAUCUGUAUGGACCUUUGUUCCAUGCCGAGUUGUGGUGUGAAGAAGCAUUCUCUGUCAGCACUUUGGUUUAAGUUCCUUGGAAAAGGACAGCAAAGAGGGUGAAACUCCCGUUCUUGGCUAUUGUGUUUGACUUUAGCAGAUGUCUUCAACGAGUCGAGUUGCUUGGGAUUGCAGCUCAAAGUGGGACGUAAAUUCGUUCUAAAUCUAAAUAUUGGUGGGAGACCGAUAGCGUACAAGUACCGUGAGGGAAAGAUGCAAAGAACUUUGAAAAGAGAGUUAAAGAGUACCUGAAAUUGCUGAAAGGGAAGCGAAGGAAACCAGUGCUUAGUUCUACUAUUUUUCUCCUGCUGCUUGCAGUUGGGGCGCUGUGGUAGUUCUGAUGCCAGCAUGGGUUGGACUUGGGAUAAGUAGCCUUGCAGGAGGUGAGUUCCUUCGGGAUCUGAAGACUGCUUGGUGUUAUUCUGGGUUUGACUGAGGCUAAUCACUUGUGCUCGUGAUGCUGGCAAAAUGGUUUUCUUUACCCCGUC